rnacentral:rRNA from 1 species
AACGAACGCUGGCGGCAUGCCUAACACAUGCAAGUCGAACGAGAUCUUCGGGUCUAGUGGCGCACGAGUGCGUAACGCGUGGGAAUCUGCCCUUUGGUUCGGAAUAACAGUUGGAAACGACUGCUAAUACCGGAUGAUGACGAAAGUCCAAAGAUUUAUCGCCAGAGAUGAGCCCGCGUAGGAUUAGCUAGUUGGUGGGGUAAAGGCCUACCAAGGCGACGAUCCUUAGCUGGUCUGAGAGGAUGAUCAGCCACACUGGGACUGAGACACGGCCCAGACUCCUACGGGAGGCAGCAGUGGGGAAUAUCGGACAAUGGGCGCAAGCCUGAUCCAGCAAUGCCGCGUGAGUGAUGAAGGCCUUAGGGUUGUAAAGCUCUUUUACCCGGGAAGAUAAUGACUGUACCGGGAGAAUAAGCCCCGGCUAACUCCGUGCCAGCCGCCGCCGUAA